rnacentral:rRNA from 1 species
CCUGACUGCUAUCGGAUUGAUACUAAGCCAUGCUAGUCUUUGUAGUAAUACAAGGCAUACGGCUCAGUAACGCGUAGUCAACCUACCCUAUGGACGGGGAUAAUCUCGGGAAACUGAGCAUAAUACCCGGCAGACCACUUAUCCUGGAAUGGUUAGUGGUUAAAAUGAUUCGUCGCCAUAGGAUGGGACUGCGGCCUAUCAGCUUGUUGGUGAGGUAAUGGCCCACCAAGGCGAUUACAGGUACGGGCUCUGAGAGGAGAGGCCCGGAGAUGGGUACUGAGACAAGGACCCAGGCCCUAUGGGGCGCAGCAGGCGAGAAAACUUUGCAAUGUGCGAAAGCACGACAAGGUUAAUCCGAGUGAUUUCUGCUAAAGGAAUCUUUUGUUAGUUCUAAAAAUACUAGUGAAUAAGGGGUGGGCAAGUUCUGGUGUCAGCCGCCGCGGUAAAACCAGCACCUCAAGUGGUCAGGAGGAUUAUUGGGCCUAAAGCAUCCGUAGCCUGUUCUAUAAGUUUGCGGUUAAAUCUAUACGCUCAACGUAUAGGCUGCCGUAAAUACUGUAGAACUAGGGAGUGGGAGAGGUAGACGGUACUCGAUAGGAAGGGGUAAAAUCCUUUGAUCUAUUGAUGACCACCUGUGGCGAAGGCGGUCUACCAGAACACGUUCGACGGUGAGGGAUGAAAGCUGGGGGAGCAAACCGGAUUAGAUACCCGGGUAGUCCCAGCUGUAAACGAUGCAGACUCGAUGAUGCAAUGGCAUAGAGCUAUUGCAGUAUCGCAGGGAAGCCGUUAAGUCUGCCGCCUGGGAAGUACGUACGCAAGUAUGAAACUUAAAGGAAUUGGCGGGGGAGCACCACCAAGGGGUGAAGCCUGCGGUUC